AUUAAACGCUGGCGGCAUGCCUUACACAUGCAAGUCGAACGGCAGCACGGGGGCAACCCUGGUGGCGAGUGGCGAACGGGUGAGUAAAGCAUCGGAACGUGCCCUGGAGUGGGGGAUAACGUAGCGAAAGUUACGCUAAUACCGCAUAUUCUGUGAGCAGGAAAGCAGGGGAUCGCAAGACCUUGCGCUCUGGGAGCGGCCGAUGUCGGAUUAGCUAGUUGGUGGGGUAAAGGCCUACCAAGGCGACGAUCCGUAGCGGGUCUGAGAGGAUGAUCCGCCGCACUGGGACUGAGACACGGCCCAGACUCCUACGGGAGGCAGCAGUGGGGAAUUUUGGACAAUGGGCGAAAGCCUGAUCCAGCCAUGCCGCGUGAGUGAAGAAGGCCU
rnacentral:rRNA from 1 species